GGCAGAUGCCUGUACUCCCAACUACUCUGGAGGCUGAGGCAGGAGAAUCGCUUGAACCUGGGAGGCGGAGGUUGCAAUGAGCCAAGAUCGCACAUUGCACUCCAGCCUGGGCGACAAGAGUGAAACUCCGUCUCGAAAAAUAAUAAUAAGAAAAUUAAAUUAAAAAUAAAAAUGUAAAAACUAUUCUUAGGUCACAGGCCCUACAAGAAUAAGCUGUGUGCCAAAUUUGGCCCAUGGGCCAAAUGUACGUAUGCCCAGCCCUGUUCUAUCAAGCAACAGUGAAACUGUCCCUCCUUAGAGACUACCAUCCCUAAAACGACUGACUGUACUCGCCAUGUGCUGGAAAAUGGGAAGACUUAAAAAAAGGGAAAUCACUGAGGCAGAGUCAAGGGGCGACAGACCUUACUCGGGAUGCCCUCCUGCCCACCCAUGCACAGAGGGCCACAUCAUCCUGGCAUCCACAGCCAGCACAGCGACCAAGGCCGUCCAUACCCCACCCAACGGGCCUGCAGAGGAACAGAAAGCCACUUUCCCAUCCCCCAUCCCCUGCGCUGGCAGUCCAGCGACUAAAAGGGCCCAGCUUCUCUGACUGCUAAUGGCCC
rnacentral:lncRNA from 10 species